rnacentral:rRNA from 1 species
AGAGUUUGAUCCUGGCUCAGAGCGAACGCUGGCGGCGUGCCUAACACAUGCAAGUCGCGCGAGAAAGGGAAGCUUGCUUCCUGAGUAAAGCGGCAGACGGGUGAGUAGUACGUGGGUAACCUGCCCUUGAGUGGGGAAUAACUUCGCGAAAGCGGGGCUAAUACCGCAUAACAUCUCCGGCCCUCCGGGAUCGGAGAUCAAAGCUUGCCUCUGCGUGCAAGCUGGCGCUUAAGGAGGGGCUCACGCCCGAUUAGCUUGUUGGUGGGGUAAUGGCCUACCAAGGCGACGAUCGGUAGCCGGCCUGAGAGGGUGACCGGCCACACUGGAACUGAGACACGGUCCAGACUCCUACGGGAGGCAGCAGUGAGGAAUUUUGGGCAAUGGGCGAAAGCCUGACCCAGCGACGCCGCGUGGACGAUGAAGGCCUUCGGGUCGUAAAGUCCUGUCGAGGGGGACGAAAUGGUGCUCCGUAAAUAGCGAAGUGCCUUGACGGUACCCCUGGAGGAAGCCCCGGCUAACUCCGUGCCAGCAGCCGCGGUAAUACGGAGGGGGCAAGCGUUGCUCGGAAUUACUGGGCGUAAAGGGCGCGUAGGCGGUUAGGAAAGUCCGGUGUGAAAUCCCUUGGCUCAACCAAGGAACUGCGCCGGGAUACUUCUUGACUCGAGGCCAGGAGAGGGAAGUGGAAUUUCCCGGUGUAGCGGUGAAAUGCCGUAGAUAUCGGGAGGAAACACCUGUGGCGAAGGCGGCUUUCCUGGACUGGUUCUGACGCUGAGGCGCGAAAGCUAGGGGAGCAACAGGAUUAGAUACCCUGGUAGUCCAAGCUGUAAACGAUGGGCACUUGGUGUUGCGGGUGUUGACCCCUGCAGUGCCGUAGCUAACGCGAUAAGUGCCCCGCCUGGGGAGUACGGUCGCAAGCCUGAAACUCAAAGGAAUUGACUGGGGCCCGCACAAGCGGUGGAGCAUGUGGUUUAAUUCGACGCAACGCGAAGAACCUUACCUGGGUUUGAACUGCAGGUGACCGCCCUAGAAACAGGGUUUUCCUUCGGGACACCUGUAGAGGUGCUGCAUGGCUGUCGUCAGCUCGUGUCGUGAGAUGUUGGGUUAAGUCCCGCAACGAGCGCAACCCUCGCCCUCUGUUGCCAUCGGGUAAUGCCGGGCACUCUGAGGGGACUGCCCCGGAAAACGGGGAGGAAGGCGGGGAUGACGUCAAGUCAUCAUGGCCUUUAUGCCCAGGGCUACACACGUGCUACAAUGGACGGUACAACGGGUUGCGAACCCGCGAGGGGGAGCUAAUCCCAAAAAACCGUUCUCAGUUCGGAUUGCAGUCUGCAACUCGACUGCAUGAAGGUGGAAUCGCUAGUAAUCGCGGAUCAGCACGCCGCGGUGAAUACGUUCCCGGGCCUUGUACACACCGCCCGUCACAUCACGAAAGUUGGCUGCACCUGAAAUUGCCGUGUUGACCCGCAAGGGAGGCAGGCACUUACGGUGUGGUUGAUGAUUGGGGUGAAGUCGUAACAAGGUAA